UGGGGAAUAUUGCACAAUGGGCGAAAGCCUGAUGCAGCAACGCCGCGUGAAGGAAGAAGGGUUUCGGCUCGUAAACUUCUAUCAACAGGGACGAAGGAAGUGACGGUACCUGAAUAAGAAGCCCCGGCUAACUACGUGCCAGCAGCCGCGGUAAUACGUAGGGGGCAAGCGUUAUCCGGAAUUACUGGGUGUAAAGGGUGAGUAGGCGGCAUGGUAAGCCAGAUGUGAAAGCCUUGGGCUUAACCCGAGGAUUGCAUUUGGAACUAUCAAGCUAGAGUACAGGAGAGGAAAGCGGAAUUCCUAGUGUAGCGGUGAAAUGCGUAGAUAUUAGGAAGAACACCAGUGGCGAAGGCGGCUUUCUGGACUGAAACUGACGCUGAGGCACGAAAGCGUGGGCAGCGAACAGGAUUAGAUACCC
rnacentral:rRNA from 1 species